GAUUUUGUAUGUGGAGUACAAGAAAGAAAACGUCCCAGAACACAUUGGUAGAAAGCUGAGUAUUCCGGAAGAGGUUUACAGUACAGUUCAGCUUUUACACACACAUGUAGCCAGCAGUAUGAGAAGUUUGGCCAUUCUUCAGCAUCGGUGUUGUCCUUAGCCACUAAACACAGAUGAAGCUCUGCAGUAGGCCGUUCUGUUCCUGGUAAGAUUUGCCUCUCUCUUUGACUGUAGUUUCUGACAUCAACACAAAGCACAACUUGCUGACGUACUGUAGUCCACAGCAGGAGUGUUUUGCCACUGUACCGGUGUUACACUGUCAGAGGGCUCUUAGGAUAGCUAUUAAUUUAGAUGCUUUUAUCAGAUAUACACUGUUUUGAAAUGAAUCUUAGGCAAAUCAUGAUCAGCUAAGUUGUUGAGAGGAGUAGGUGCAAAUUCUGUAAUCACAGUCUGAUUAGGCAAUGGCCUGUCUCCACAGAAGAGAAGCAGCGGGAUACAUACUUCUGCACCAUCUGAAAUUCUAAAUGGCGAAAAUAAAGUGUGUGGUUCUGAUACCAGCUCCAAUUAAGGGAGUUAUGAACACUUAACUGCCUAUUAGUCUGAAUGCACGCAUCUAGUUUUCUGAAUGUGCAAACAUAAAGACUUCAGAUAAUCUGACCUGUGGUACUCUUAAUCUUAAUGAACAGCCCUGAAAUCUGCUUGCAGGUAUGAUUGCAGCUGGUAGUGUCUGGUUUGUUGCCUUUGCUUAUUUGACCUUCACCCUUCUAAUUUCAGCGUGCAGCUAAGAUCUGACUUGGACUCCACUGCUUUUACAGCUGUAGCCAGGUUCACAUGAUCCCUUGGGUUUUAAUGGAUGGCUCUGUCUAAUAAUAAGACCUGGUCCUCAAAUUUUACUGAGUCCCUACCUGGGGAAAUUUCUAUUGGAAUUUACUGACCUUUAAUCUCUCCUCCACUUUUUUUUUUCUUUCUUUUUUUUUUCUUUUUUUCUGGAAGGUAUUUAAUGCAAUGUUUUGAGUGUUUUUUAAUACGCUUGUAAUGGUAAUCUAAAAUAUAAUUUGUAGGCAGACUUAAACCAAGGAUGCUACAUAGUCUUGAGGCAUAUUUGUUCCACUUCUUUCUCUGUGUUGUGUAAAGGAAUGUAACAGGAAAAAAAAAUGUAUUUUUUUCAGGUAGGGGGAAUAAUGCAGCAAGAAAUUCUCAGAACAAAACAGCCCAGCUUUCAAGUGUAACAGAAGAGUAUGGAGUGAUUAAGCACAGGGAAUUCCUUAACUCAUGUUAAAUUAAGCAAUGUGCCCUGGUUUCCAGGAACAGCUUAAUGGUUGUUCUCAGGUCUUUGUUAGUACAGUAAGCACAGAUAGUGUUAAUGAUCGAGAACUAGGCAGUCCUAUCAAGACACUGCAGUGUAUCCUCAACUGCAGAAUAAGUCAUAUCUGUCAGUCAGCUUAGCAAACAAGUAAGAAAUUCUAUCUGGUGGGUUAGCAAAGCACUUGUCUUCCUAAUAAUAGCUGUGCUCUUGAAAGGUCCUGCUUUGCAGAACCUCUCUGCAAAGGUGGAGGGUGGACCUUCACUGCUGAAUUUUUUAAGUAACAAACAAAUAGGUCAGAAGGAAAAAAAGCAUCGUUACUUGUUUUCAGCUCUAGCAUUUAGCCAGUUUUCAAUAUCUAGCAGAUUGCUUUGUAGUUAUGAACCUUUUUUUGUGGUUUUUUUUUUGUUUUUUAAAAUGAAAAGUAAUUUAUUUUUUCAAUAAUACACUUUUCUUUUUCUCCUGUGAUAGACAAGUUCCUCUGAACUCAAGUGAAUUCAAACCCUGAAAGAUCUUUUUUUUUUUGUCCUCAGCUUUGCACAGAAGGUUUUUCUUUCAGCUUUUUGACUUUGAUAUUAGACCAUGUUUCUGAUUUCCUUUACCUUUUGUCUGUUGGUUUAUUCUUUCACAUAUGGAGUUGCACACAGCUCCUCCAGUUAUAAUUAUAACCUGUAAGUUUGCUGAAUUGGGUCUUCAGAGAAAUGCUUGAUGUUUGUAAUUACAUUUUGCAGCAUAACAUAUCUUGCUUAAAAGUAUCUAAUUGUUUUAAUUACCUGUUUUUAUAUAAUGAUGUUUUAUACAUCUUCUGUAGAUUGAGAAUGGUGGUUACACUCAGCUGAGUUAAAGGUGGGUUUCCUAGCAAUGUGGCUUGCCAUAAUAGAAGUGCUCCAAAAUGUAUCCCAUUCCAGUGGGUGUUUGCAGUGAAAUUACUCUCACUUGAGAAAUCAUAGGAUCACAGGAUGGCUUGAGUUGGAAGGGACCUUGCAGCCCAUCCAGUUCCAACCCCCAACCACGCGCAGGGCUGCCACCCACUAGGUGAGGCUGCCCAGGGCCCCAUCCAACCUGGCCUUGAAGGCCUUCAGGGAUGGGGCAUCCACAGCUUCUCUGGGCAAUUUGUUCCAGUGCCUCACCACCAUCUGAGUAAUUAAUUUCUUCCUAUUGUUUAUCCUGAGUUUCCCCUCUUUUAAUAUAAAACCAUUUCCCCUUGUCCUGCUACUAUCUGCCUGUUUAAAAAGUCGGCGUCCUUCCUGUUAAGUACUGGAAGGCCACAAUGAGGUCUCCCAGAGCCUUUUUCAGACUGAAUGAGCCCAGCUUUCUCAGCCUUUCUUCAAAGGAGAAGUGCUCCAGCCUUCUGACCUUCUUUGUGGCUUCCUUUGGAUCCUCUCCAACAGCUCUAUGUCUUGUGCUGGGGGCCCAAUGCAGCACAGUGGGGUUUUGUCCUGAAAAUGGGGACAAAGCUGGGAGGAGAAGUCUUUCACCUUCAUGUGAUAAAUGCAACAGAUACAGCUUUGGAAGCAAGUUGUUUUGUUCAAAGCAAAAAUCAUAGAACUGUAGAGAAGGAAGACUUAUGUGUGUUAUCUCAUGAAGACAAUUGGCUGGAGAAAGGAAGAGCUUCCUUGGGAAGGAGGAUCCCACAGUUCACUGACAACUCAUUCACAACUGGCGGUAUUCUAUUAGGGAAGGGUUGCAUACCAGGUGGAUGGUGUCCUCCUUUGAAAGUGAUUUCCUAGCCAUAAUCUGUCUAAAUGGAUUUUUGCUCUGUUUUUGUUAAGGGCAGUUUUCUCCUGUAGUGUCUGAAAGAUGUCCUUUGGAAUCAUACGUGCAAAUAGGGCAGUUUUACUUGCCGCUAUACUUUCAUGGUAUGAAGGCAAGUUCAGAAAUAACAUGGAUUGGUAAACCGGUGUAUAAAAGUGUUUACUUGUGAAUUCACUUGUAAUACUGCAUUGACAGAACUAUUGUGGUUGUUUCCUCUGCUUGGAAAUUAGGUAAAAUCAAUCUAUUAGCACCCACAUACUGGUGAUAUCUUAAGAGAAUGUUUAGAAGCCUCCUCAAUCCAUUGCUAGUUUGGGGCAUUCUCUAACUGAAGUUGUAGCAAUCUACUACGAAUCAUUUAUCCACCUCCCUUCUUGCAGUCCUCUAUUGUGAUGACCUGUCACUCCAUAAUUGCAUUCUCAAGGAUAUUUCUAUCUCUACUCCCGUUGUGUCCGAAGUACAUACAUUUACACCUAUUCAUUUCUGACAACCAAGUCUGCUUUUGUCCAGUAAUAUCUUUAAUAGGAGCAUUUAUCUUCUUUUUCUGUCCAAGAGAUAAGUAAGAGCCUUUACUUGCACCACACUCAAAAACUUCCAUUUUCUUCCUGUCACUGUCAAUAAUUUCUCAGGAUUUGCAUAAUUCAUGAAUUGCUAUAGCAAAAAAAUUAAGCAUUUCACCAAUGAAGUCUUUCUGCUGUUUGAGGUGAAACGGUUUUUAUCAGGCUGAUAUAAGGAAAGCCAUGGCUGAACCAACUGUUGUUCAAAAUGUUACGGUUUCUACUGGGCAGAUUCUGAUUGGAUAUAUUUGAUCCUAGAUAACUGAAUUUAUGAACAGUCUCUGUAGCCAGACCAUUCAGCAUAAAGCAUAACAUUCUAUUCUUAUUAAUUAAGUAUAUUUGUGGCAUAUUCAAAAAUAGCUUGUAUUUUUAACUAAGUUUUUAUUGGCUGUCUAAUGCUUGCUGCACAGUAGAAGCAGUUGUGACAAAGAACAUUAAGACAUCAGCCUAUGAGUCCAUUGCAAAUACAGCUUCUCAAUUCUGAAAUGUCCUUCCCCAGUUUUAUUUAUUUAUUUAUUUUCCCAGCCAGGCUAUAAGAAAAUCUGCAGUUAUCACAUCUGUAAACUGGAAAGUUUAGCCCACGGCAGCUACGUACGAGGGAGAAGAUUAUACGAGCAGUCUCCCUCUUCCCCCAAUUAGAUGAGAACUGUUGUACGGUCUGUUUAAAAAUCAGAAUGUGUGGUACUGAGGUUCUGAUUAAAAGGCUUCUACACGAGAAGUAUUGAUUAUAUUUGUGUUGUUGCUGUUCCUAAUUCUUUCACGGAUGCAAUGCCUUCUGCUUGCAGUAAAGAAAAGAAUGAGACAGAACUUUACAAAUGAGUAUAAAUCUAGGAUUUACCAUUAUGAUGAAAGAAAGAGAUGUGAUGAAUGGAUGUAAAAUCUCGGAGCUGUAGUGUAAUGAUGGGGUCAUUUCAUCAUGAUGGGUAGAUAUGACAUGCAGUAUUCAGAGCCUUCAAAAAGGGUUUCAUUUAUCAUACUCGAGGAGGCAUCAAAGUGUUUGGGUAUGACUCAAAGCAAAAGAAUCGUUACAAUUUGCCUUUGAACAAACUCAGGAAAUAUAUUGAUCGUAUAGGUUUAUGCUGCUAGAAAAACAGCUAAUGAUGAUUCAGUCUAUGUAUUUUGUGCAUAGCUUGAGGAAAUGUUCAUUAAAACCUUACACCAUGUAUGCCGCUACACCCUUUGGGAACUUAAACAUAAAAGCUGGAAUUUCAAAACCUUAUUAAGUACAAUUUGAGUUUACAGAAAUAGAAUAAUAUAUUUGAAUUCUGGAAUUGUGUGGCCAUAGGUGAGAGAGGAAACUACACCAGAUGAUGUUUGGAGUAAAAAGAAAGCUCUGAUUUCCAAAUGUGCUGGUGCAUAGUGUUCAAUAACAGCAGUAUUGGUCGAUGAAGAUGGUGACUGAGUUCAUUUGAGCUGAUGUUCAAAUGGAUAUUUAACAAAGUGGGCCACGAAUGGGUUUCUAAGGAGAGGACAGAAUACCAGAAAUGGAGCAGAUGAAGCCAGAAGUAGGCUAGACAAGGCAAGAGCAAGCACAGAAGUGAGAAAGCAUGGCUGUGACAGACAUGAAUGCUUAACAAUACAAAUGUGUUCUCAGUAGCCAGGCUGUGAACCAGAAAUUUGCAAUGACUGGGUAUGGGAAAGUUCAUCAUGGUAGCGGUCACCGGAGAUGAUGAUUCUGAAUGCCAGCAGAGUUCGAACUUACGCUGUUCAUAAAGUGGACUGAUAUGUAUCCACUUACAAUUUUACCAGCAUCUAAAACACUAUUUAUAUCCUGUCUGAAAUUGGCAGGGCAGCUCAUAUGUUCUCCGUGUAAUGUACUGUAACUACACUGUAUCUAGUACGUAAACGUUUGCUUUCUUAAUAUAUUGCUACUGUUCUUUUUAUCUUCCAGACACUGCGUAUUUAUGCCUAAUCUUUUGUAUUUUCAGUUCAGCACAGGCUAAAACUGUCAGCCUCAUUUAUCUGAGACUAUUAAAAAUGCAGACAAAGGCUUUCAGCCAGCAUGUGAACAUUGAAGUUGCUACUUUCUAUGUACCCAAUUUUUGCUUAUGGGAUGUCAUUGAUCUAUAUCUGAUCAAUAUUUUUAAAAUUUCCUUUGAGAUCUGCUCAGCAGCCAUCUGUAUUCCAGUGUGUGGAGGAGAAAGCUGAGUGAGUCAGUUUCUUCAUUCCUCUUCAGAGUCAUUUUGCUCUGACACUGCCUUGAUGCGCUAGGCUUAUAUGAGAAAUGGGAAUGCAGGAGGAUGUAUGAAUGAGAUGAAGAAAUGGGAGGAGCUGAGAUGAGCACACGUGGGAGUUCCAGCUCAGCUGAAGACCUGCAUCAAAAUACUUUGGGACUUUCAUUCCUGCAUGCCUGUUUGAUGUUUUGGUGCUCCUAUGGUUAGUAGAUGCCCUCUUGCUGAACCUGGGGAAGAACAUGUGAGUGACAGUGGCAACAGUCAUACAACCAGGUGAUACAAUCUGCUGGCCACAAAACAGCAAACCUGGCUAUGUAGAGUAGACAGGUAAAUUAAAAAAGCUUGAAUUGAGGAAGGGCUGUUUCUGUUAUAUCAAUUCUAACAAUAGGUUUAAACAUCAUCUGGAUAGGGAUUUGCUUUUUAGGUGCCUUUAAUCGAUGCUGAAUUUGAAAAGUAAAUGUGUAAUGUCGAAAAUUGUCCAGUUCAUAACAAUAGUGAGAUAAGGAUGUAAUUCUUAUCAAAGUACCCAUUGGUCUCUCUAACCAUCACCACUGCACAAGAGAAGAGAUCACACCUCAGUAAUGGAAAAGGUGCACCAAACAAAUGAAUCGCUCCUCUUUCAAUGUUAUUUUAAGCUAUGUUCCUUCUUCCAGGUUUUGGGGAACGUAGACAACAGGAAUCAAAUCAUUCAAAGAGUUCAUUGUCUGAUCAUCCAUUUGAAGAAAGCUUCAACAUUUUUUACGUGCUGGUUGUAUUAACAGAUUAUUUUUUAUUUUUUUGCCUAUUAAGAUGGGCCCACGUCCAAAUUGCGACAUCCUGAAUUGUGUGUGAGCUAAAUCUGGUUACAGAUACAAAUCUGAAUAUUAUGAGCAGGGUGGAGUUGAGCUAAAGAUCUGACUCCCUCGGCCUUGUGACUUGGAUGUGACAUGAGUUUGGCAUGUCCAAGCUAACCCUAUUUUUUUACCUAGCUCCUGAAUAAAUUGGAAACUUAAAAAGGCACUGUCAUGUUUUGUAUCUGAAACCAUAAGGUGGUCUUAAGCUGCCUGCAGUGCUGUAAAUUUGAGUUUCUUUUGUUGCUGUUGUUAUUCAUUGGGAAAGAAUGCGGCCCGGUUUCCAGUGACAGAGGGUGUGAAAUGGUAUAAAGUAGAAGUAAAAGGUGGAUUAUUUUGAAGAGACAAAAAAAACAAACCAAAACAAAACCAUAGUUCCCUGUUCAACAGGGACCAAAUAACCAUGGAGCCAGUUUCCUAUGUAAGUAACUGCGAUUCUGUCAUGUGACAGUUACAUGGAGUCACAUACUGAACAAAGAAUUUUCUUAAAAAAAAAAAAAAAAAAAAAAGAAAAAGAACUGUAGUCUAUGAAGCUGCUUUUAAAUGCUCAAUGCUCCCUGCUCCCCCCAUCUCCUUGGCUUCUUGUUUCAGCCUAAGUAGUAGAGCACACAAGUUAUUCAAGUUUAGAAACUAGUUAGUGAAAUUGAAUUCAUAAAUGAGUGCUAGUGAUUUUAGACCAUAAAAUGGAUCCUAAUUUAUUUUUACAAGCAGCAUGACUGAGGUUAAGCUUGAAGGUUGCUGUAGCCAGACAGGUUUUUUUGUAAAGCUGGUGAGUGAGGAGCAUCGACACCACAUAGGAUACACGUUAGAUACCUAUGCUUAUGUAGCAUGUACUUACAUAGUGUAGAGUUUUGAACUCAGAAUUUUUUUGUGAAAUACACAGGUCUGGGUCAGAUCUGUAUUUCGAAAUAAAGCCUCUAAAAAAACACUGCUGAAAGAAAGCAAAUAGAUUUUUAUACAUUUUGUAAUCUGAUGUUAACAGUCACAGUGAGGUAAACAUUUAUAAAUCACUUGUAACUGGCAGGCUGUUAACUUCUGGUAAAUGGUUUGCUCAGACAAUGGAGUAGAGUCUUUCUUGACAUCUAAAAGUGUUUAUUCACUCAGAUGACAUUAAUAGGUUGCUGAAACUAAAAUUCAGGGUCGCAACUAAUAUUACAUCUACUUAGAAAUCCCGUUCUGCAGCCAGGUGCAACAGUUUAAAAUCUGUGAGUGAGAGCAGUAAAACAGCUGACAUCCCCAAACUUCCUGCACAAUGGGAACACUGUGGGUUGGUUUUGUUUUUUUUUUUUUGGUCUGUUUGUUUGUUUUUUAAAUCUGGAAUAACUAAAAUGUUGUAAUUAGUUUUUAGUUGAAAUAUUACACGAUCAAAAGAAAACAUUAACUGGUAGCUUUUUGAACUUUUCUUUAUAAUAAAGUCAAAUUAAAAUUUACUUUUUCAGUAAAUGUUUUCAAGGGUUUGGUUCUGCAUCUCAAAAUGAUUCAAUCAUGUUAAGUGAACGUGUUUGAGGAAAUGCCCCUUUUUUGCUCUAAGUAAAGUGGUUAUUGUAGGUGAGGCAUAAUAACUUACUGUACUGAGAUCCUAAUACAGGCAAGCUAGUUGGUAGGUUUCUCGUGUUCUUCGUGCUAUUGGGGUGAAGGUAAACAGAUAAGAAUAUAAAAUUACUGUAGUCUUCUAGUACAUAUUUUCCUACUAAAAGAAACAAGCUUCUUUCUGCCUCUACCCCCAUUUGCCUUAAGGAAGAUACAGUACAACGUUGGAUGAUUUGGAUUUUGCUGGUAUCACUUAUACUUGACACCUGACUCUGAAUAAGAUAUCCCAAGAGAAGCUCAGCUACCAAACAAAAUAAAAUGCUCAAGUCUCAUAUUGCAAAUUCUUGAAUGAUGUUGGUUCUGUUUCAACCUGGAAAAUUGUAGCACAGUUCCAAACCAGAGCACUUCCUUCUGGAGCUCUGCCUGCCAUCAUGCAGCAGAGCAGAGACCCCCACGGUUCUGUCAUGGGGCAUUUUGUUCUUGCAGCUCCAGCUUUACCCAUGAGUGGAGGCCAUGAAUGAUACUGUUCCUUGGAAAUGUCUUCUUUCUCGGUCAGCAUACUGCAAUUGUUUUGUUAAAAUCAGUAAGUAAACAUCCUGGUCAAAUUCCAGUUCAGAUAACAGCACUCUGCUUACAGAGUUCCUGCAGUUUCAAAUAAAUGGCAUACUUAUGUCUGUUACCCUGUUCUGUGGUAUUGGAUGGUGGUGGUAAGCAGCUGGUAUGUUGUGGCUCAGAGGUGAUCUCAGCUAACUCAGGCAUAAGGUGGAUCCCCUUUGCUUUUCAUUAUUACUUUAAAAUUGAGACAUGUUGAUGAUGGUAAAGUUGCUGAAGUGUCAAACAUUUAUCUCUUUUUUCUUCUUCCUGUACAUCUUGUUCUAACUAUUGCAGAGAUAAAAAUGGUGUCUG
ensembl:lncRNA